rnacentral:rRNA from 1 species
UACGUAGGUGGCGAGCGUUGUCCGGAUUUACUGGGCGUAAAGAGCGCGCAGGCGGCUGGUCAAGUCCGAUGUGAAAGCUCCCGGCUUAACUGGGAAAUUGCAUCGGAAACUGAUCGGCUGGAAGGUGGGAGAGGGUAGCGGAAUUCCCGGUGUAGUGGUGAAAUGCGUAGAUAUCAGGAGGAACACCUGCGGUGUAGACGGCUUUCUGGACCAUAACUGACGCUGAGAUACGAAAGCGUGGGGAGCAAACAGG